GCGGGAGCCUCGCGUGCCGCCGCCGUGGAGGCCGGCAAGGCCGGGCCGGCUCCCCCGGGAGAGUCGACUCCCGGUGGGCGUCGGCCUGGAGACGUCCGCGGAGCGCGGCCCGAGAACCAGGCGCGGGACGCGGAGCUGUAGCGCCGCCUCUCCCUGCGCGCCUUUGUUGCUCUGCAUUUAUUUUUCCAACGGAGUAAUGCUGUUUGAAAUAUCAAAACGAUAAGAAACCCUCCCACUCUUCUUCUCCCUCUUGGCUCCUGUGCAAGCCGUGAUUCCGACGGUGGGCCGCUCGGCACGUCGGUGUCUCUAGAGAGAGCUGCACCUUAACGUCGACCAGAGCCUUUCGUGGAGGAGUGAAGGUCAAACACGUCAGUGUCUCUAGAGAGAGCUGCACUUUAACGUCGACCAGAGCCUUUCAUCGAGGAGUGAAGGUCAAACACGACCUCUGUCUGUGCAGCAUGGUGGCAGCGUGAGCCCCUGGGACUGCUCUUUGUGAAAUUGCACUGCUUAUGUCCAUGCUGGGCCUAGAGGGUUUCACGUAAGCCUUUCACUCAGCGACCCCAGAGAUGUCCAGUCCAAAAGAGAGGCUGUUACAGAGCCUAUCCCUGGAACUGGGGUUGGCGAAGAACAUGCAGUGACUGGGGAAAUGAUUACAGGGGGGGAGGGGG
rnacentral:lncRNA from 1 species